CACACAAGUGUAUAUAUCAGGUUUGAAGAGGAACAAAUCUAGCGCUCAAAUAUAUUUGCUUUUUCAAUAAUAAUAUAUUAGUAUUUAUAUAUUUUAUAAACAGUUUUUUAAGUAAGUCAUUCAUUAAAAAAUGAAUGAACAUAAACGUAUUUUUCGUGAAAAUGUGAUUCCAGAGAUACCAGAUUUAGCUGUCUAUAUUCCAAAUUUUAUUACACAAGAAGAAGAAGAUGAAAUAGUAAAAUAUGUGAAUGGUGCUCCUUUACCAAAAUGGACACAAUUAAGUCAUCGCAGAUUACAAAAUUGGGGUGGUAUACCUCAUCCGAAAGGUAUGAUAGCUGAAAAAAUACCAGGUUGGCUCCAAAAAUAUAUAAAUAAAGUAUCAGCAUGUGAUAUAUUUGAGAAAAGCAAGUUACCUAAUCAUGUUUUAAUUAAUGAAUAUCUGCCUGGUCAAGGAAUAAUGGCACAUUCAGAUGGUCCACUCUUUCAUCCUAUUGUAACAACCAUAAGUUGUGGCUCUCAUACACUUCUAGAUUUUUAUAAAAGACUUGACAGUACUGAGCAACAUCAAUCUACUUUAGAAUUCAGUUUUUUAUUAGAGCGUAGGAGUCUGUUUAUUCUUCAAGGAGAUUUAUAUCACAAUUAUAUGCAUUCAAUUGCAGAAAAAGAUAGCGAUGUUAUUUCAAAGUCUGUGUUAAAAAACUUAAGUAUAUGCGGAGAAAAAUUUUCAGAAGGAGAAACAUUAAAACGAGGGACUAGAAUAUCUUUAACUAUUAGACAUGUUCCAAAAACUAGCAAAUUAAAAUUAAGAAUUGGAUAAUAUAUUUUUUAGUUAUCAAGUUCCACGAGGAUUAAAGAAGGAGAUAAUAAUAUCAUCGGCAAAGAAGUUAUUAAGUUCCGCGAGUCAGCGAAUGCAACGCGUUCCCAUUGGAAUAUUAAAAUGAUCCGCCAUUAGUUUAAUAAACCUGUCUUCUUUUUCCCUUCGUCCAAGAGCUGGUUCCAUACUUCUUGAAGACUUUCGACGCAGCAGUCGCAGAUGUCACUGUACCCUUAAUGAGCACGCUAUUUUUCACCAGUAUUUUUAUCCCGUUUAUUGGCUGCCCGUUUCAGAAACUGUCAGCUGGAUAUUAAUCAUCCCACUGUUACGACACUGGCUUUAUUUCUUCUAAGGAUAAAGAAUGAAAGGGUCUUCGGAGAAGGGAAGAUGGAACUUGUGUUCCUUCAUUAGUAAUACGAGAAUACCUCUGAUAUGACAGAUUUUAUUUUAUCGAGGUAAAGAUUAUAUGCAGCGCCAACGAUGAAAUAUGCAAUUACAUAUUGCGAUAGUUAAUUGUAAUCGAUCGAUAUAAAUUCUCGCAAUCGAUCUAUCAUAGGACACAGCCACGUAACGUAAAACUGCCAGUUUUUGGCGGGAAGUGCAGCAAGAAGGACCUAUUAUGCGGAAACUGUUAGGUUUCUCUUUUUCCUGUCCCCUGGAAAGGAUCCUAAUGCCGUUUAGGAAGCUAAGGAUAUUUUUCCCAGCCUUCCAUGGGACUCGACGAUUUAUUUAUACUUGAUGACAAGCUUCGCAAUGACUUUCCAUAGACCACAAUUACAUUGAUGACAACGUUCUUCGCAUCUAAUCGUGAGUCGUAUGCAUUUUUGUUCCCCUGAUCACUCAAUCAUGUCGUAGGAUGAAAGAUCUGAAUCGACACGGGUGACUGGUUGUAUUAUGUUGAAUUUUUGACGAGUAUGGCGACCACGGGUAUUUAUUGUGCCCGUGAAUAGUAACAUUCUUUUGUUUGUGUUUCAUUUAUUAAUUCAGCAUAGGUUUUCUUGCAUGUCGCGCUG